UCAUAAUAAUUUCUUGUGAUCUGUUGUAUCUUUUCCCUUAGAUCUCAGCAUUCUCUCCAACGUUGAACCAUUCUUCGUGAGUUCAUUGGUACAGAUAUUCUAGAUUUGGAUCAGUUUUUUUCCUUCUUGUACCUUCCUCUCCCGAAUCAUCUACAAAAUCCAAGAUUGAUACAGUUUUGAUAAAAUAAAAAAAACAACUAGUUUCAAAGGCCAAGAACUUGAUGGAGAGAACAAGCAGAAUGACAUACGAACAAUUGUCUUUUAUCUGGAGGAUUCUGUAAAUGAAAAGAGAAUAAAUACAUUUCCUUCCUAGAGAAAUCAAGCUGGAAAUAAACAGAAUGAGCUUA